rfam:Treponema lecithinolyticum ATCC 700332 genomic scaffold Scaffold36, whole genome shotgun sequence.
AUCAUGGAGAGUUUGAUCCUGGCUCAGAACGAACGCUGGCGGCGCGUCUUAAACAUGCAAGUCGAACGGUAAGGAAGGAGCUUGCUCCUUUCUGAGAGUGGCGGACUGGUGAGUAACACGUGGGUGACAUACCUUUUAGAUGGGGAUAGCUAUUAGAAAUAGUAGGUAAUACCGAAUGUGACCGUAUCUGUUAGAGGGAUACGAGGAAAGGAGCUAAGGCUUCGCUAAAAGAAUGGCCCGCGGCCCAUUAUGCUCGUUGGUGAGGUAACGGCCCACCAAGGCGAUGAUGGGUAUCCGGCCUGAGAGGGUGGACGGACACAUUGGGACUGAGAUACGGCCCAGACUUCUACGGGAGGCAGCAGUUAAGAAUAUUCCGCAAUGGACGAAAGUCUGACGGAGCGACGCCGCGUGGAUGAAGAAUGCCGAAAGGUUGUAAAAUCCUUUUAAGCCUGAGGAAUAAGCACAGUAGGGAAUGAUUGUGUGGUGACUGUAGGGCUUGAAUAAGCACCGGCAAAUUACGUGCCAGCAGCCGCGGUAACACGUAAGGUGCGAGCGUUGUUCGGAAUUAUUGGGCGUAAAGGGCAUGUAGGCGGAUGAGCAAGCUUGGUGUGAAAUGCUACAGCUUAACUGUGGGACAGCAUUGAGAACUGCACAUCUUGAAUUACUGAAGGGUAACUAGAAUUCCACGUGUAGGGGUGAAAUCUGUAGAUAUGUGGAAGAAUACCAAUGGCGAAGGCAAGUUACCGGCAGAUAAUUGACGCUGAGGUGCGAAAGUGCGGGGAGCGAACAGGAUUAGAUACCCUGGUAGUCCGCACAGUAAACGAUGUACACUAGGUGUCUGGCAACAAAGCUGGGUGCCAAAGCAAACGUGGUAAGUGUACCGCCUGGGGAGUAUGCCCGCAAGGGUGAAACUCAAAGGAAUUGACGGGGGCCCGCACAAGCGGUGGAGCAUGUGGUUUAAUUCGAUGGUACGCGAGGAACCUUACCUGGGUUUGACAUAGUACUUAAGUUCGUAGAGAUACGGAUGCGUAGCAAUACGAAGUACAACAGGUGCUGCAUGGCUGUCGUCAGCUCGUGCCGUGAGGUGUUGGGUUAAGUCCCGCAACGAGCGCAACCCCUACUGCCAGUUACUAACAGGUAAUGCUUGAGGACUCUGGCGGAACUGCCGGUGACAAACCGGAGGAAGGUGGGGAUGACGUCAAGUCAUCAUGGCCCUUAUGUCCAGGGCUACACACGUGCUACAAUGGUAGCGACAGAGUGAAGCGAAGCCGCGAGGUGGAGCAAAACGCAGAAAAGCUAUCGUAGUUCGGAUUGGAGUCUGAAACUCGACUCCAUGAAGUUGGAAUCGCUAGUAAUCGCAUAUCAGCACGAUGCGGUGAAUACGUUCCCGGGCCUUGUACACACCGCCCGUCACACCAUCCGAGUAGAGGGUACCCGAAGUCGGUAGUCUAACCGCAAGGAGGACGCUGCCGAAGGUAUGCUUUGUAAGGAGGGUGAAGUCGUAACAAGGUAGCCGUACCGGAAGGUGCGGCUGGAUCACCUCCUUU